rnacentral:tRNA from 1 species
UCCGCAGUAGCUCAGUGGUAGAGCAAUCGGCUGUUAACCGAUCGGUCGCNCUUAGGGAGGCA